AAGAGAGGUCUGGGACAAAAAGAACUGCUAACUCUUUUAAUCAUGGUUCAAUUCCAUGGCUCACUUA
rnacentral:tRNA from 2 species